rnacentral:lncRNA from 1 species
UGAGAGAGUUGUGUUUCUUAACGUGCCUCGAGCAACCAGAAAAGAGAACUCUUCAGAAAUAGCAUCUCAAAAUAGUCAGAGCUUAGGAACAAGGGUAAGAAUGAGAGACUAACAGUUAACGUGAUUGUGUUACAUGGUAGGAAGGUGGUUAUUAUUGGAAGACCCUGGUAUACACACAUGCUAAGCUCUUAUUUGAGAAAUAUUCAGCAUGCAUAUAUUUUAACUCAUUAAUGUAUGCUCAAGCUAUGGAAGGAUAAACAAUUUUUUUAUGUUUUACAAAUAAAGAUUCUGUAGUAAGAAACAUUGAACAUAUAGGUCAAGCUCACACAGAGACUUAGAAGAAAAUUCUGUAUUAAAAUAUUCUGAGGUACUGGUUUAACUACUAAAAUUGCACUGCCUAUACUUUAUUAACUUCUAUUAUAUUUUUCUGAAAGGGGUCAAAUCUUGUAUAUAAUCUAUAUAUUAUAUAAUGUUAAUACUUUAAACUCCAGCAUUACCAAUAACCCCCCUACCCUCAAUGUAACCAACAUAGGUCAAAAGACAAUUAAGAUUAGUCGAUGGUAGGUUGGCAGAACCCAUAAUUCUCUCUCCUGAGUACUAGAAAGUUAAUUGGAUCACACGGCUGCAUUUAUCAGAGGCUUACAGCACAAAACACAAAGCACACUUGCAAAUGGGGAGGUUUCCCAUUUCUCUUCCUCUGUGCUAGCUUUAGAAAUCUGAUCCCAAAAGUUGCAGGCUAAUAAUAGGUAUGAUUAAGUCCCUACAAUUGCCCCCCAGACACUUUGCUGGAUGUUGGGGAUACAAAGAUAAUUAAGACAUAGGUUCUACCUUUGAUAAAGAGAAGCAGAGGCAAACAAACAAGCAAACAAACAAAAAAACAACCCCCCCCAAAAAAAAAACAAAAAAAAAAAACAUGAUAUCAUUGACUGGUAAGUCCUGUCAUAGAAGAGAGGUUUUAAUCAGAGCCCAGGGUGGGCUACAAUUCCAAACCUAAAGAGAGAGAUGGGGGACGCAAAGGAAGACUUCUUCACAGAGGAGAAUCUUCUCCCCAAAAUUAGUAACUGUUGUCACAGGUGUAGCAGCAAAUAGGAGGUGAGGAAGUGAAGAAGAGAUUAAAGGACCUUCAGUCAAGUAGCUUCUCCAUGAAAGGACAGGGAGAGAGAACAGGAGAAGGUAGAGGAAUGAGGAGGGUGGAUUUUUUUUCAAUAUAGCAGAUACUUGAGUAUAUUCAUAUUCUGAGAGGAUGAAAUCAAUAGAGAGGGAAAGUUUGAAGACGGAGGAGAGGGAGGAAAGCAGUGGAACAAACAGACCUAGAGGAUAUUGAGGAGGGAGAAUUCCCAGAACAAGAGGAAGAAUUAGCCUCUGACAUGACUGACAACCCCAACUCCCAAGGCCAAACAUGGAAAAAUAAGUUGCAGCUCUGAUCACACAUACCUGCCAAAUAGAAUAUAGACUGAAAAAUCCCUUUGUGGGAGUUAUUUCAUACCACUGUUAUUAAUGUAACCUGGAAAAUAGAGUCUGUGGAAAGGUAUCUUCGUAAGUUGCUUGCUCUACAACUGUGUCUAAAUAAUGCUACUAUCACCACUGGAAUAAAGAAAAUAAUCACUGUUGGCUGUGGAUUUAGAUUUAUUGAUAUUCUCAGAUAAUAUUCAUGCAGGCACCACAGGCUUCAAGCUUCUACAUUGGGUGCUUAAAAAUAGUUUAAGGGAAAAAAAAACAACACCCAUAUUAUAUACCCAUUCCAGCAAUCACAGGCAAUUACUAGAGACACACAUAGAACAAAAAGGAAGUUUAAUACGAGAAGACAGACACACACCUUUUAAGGAGGGAUAAUGUCACAGUGUUCAGAAUGUUAUCCCCUAGCUGUGAAAUGUAUUCUAAGAAAAACAUCUGAAUUUAUUCAAACUCAGAAUGUGUAGCUUAUUUUAUGAAAUGCCAGUUUGCUGAAUGAGGAGAGGAGAUAUAAUUUCCUUUAAAACAGCAUGCACCAUAUGAGAGCUAGAUUACAAACUGUGUAUCUAAACCUUUCAUUUUUAGGUUUGGAAAAUUAACCCUGUGUGGGACAGGCACAGUGUUAACCCUUGCAGGCACAAGAAUGGGCAAAUGCUGGGUCCUCAAGAAACUUACCGCUUGGGGCAGAGUUUCCUAUAUUGUAUUACAUGGAAUAAUGAAACAUUGCUGUCCUCUAAAAUGUUGAUAAGCAUUUGAUCAGAAAAAAUAUUUUAUGGUCCAGUACAACAUUCCCUAAGGAAUUUAUUUAAAUAAAUUAUUUAAUUUGCUGCAGAACUUUCCAAAGUUUUUAUUAUGAAACUAGUCACAGUGAAUCAUGAAGGUUUCCUUCACAAUAUACCUCUGGAUUUAUUGUACAUGGAAUUUUUUUCCCAUACAACUACAAGCAAUAUCUUGCAAAAUAUGGAGAUCCUUGCCGAUAUCCCAGCCCUAUAUUAGCUCCUUACGGGGGUGCUGGCUUUGACAAUUUUUGUCCUCAGAAUAUAAUUAUAUCAUAUGGUUGAAAUGAAUAACUCACAAAGUGGCCAUUAUUCUUUCAACCACAGGAGAUCAGUGUAAUAAAAUGGGAUAGACCAGUGUCGAAUGAAAUUUUCUAAAAUAAAUAUUAAGUCCAGAUAAUUCAGGUCAUUGUUAAAAUUUUUUUUUAAUUCACGACUGAUUUUGAACUUAAUCCCAAUUUUGACUUGAUACAAGAAAAGAUAAUGUUUUGCUUUGACUUUUUGAUCAAGGACCACAGAUGAAUGAGGUCUAGUGAGGUUGAAAGAAAAUGUAGCCCAAAAUAGUAGCAAUUAGUAUCUGAUUGAAGUCCUAAAAAAGACUGCUACCCUUCUUGUUCUAACUCGAUUCCUCCCUGAGUCCCCAGUAAAUUUACACACCUGGCUUCCAAAUAAAGUUGGAUAAGGAAACAUUUUAAGGACAGAUAUUCAUGACCUAGAUUUCAUUUUUUCUUUUUGUAUUCCUGAUCUUCAAGUUUCCAUGUUUAGCAGUUAAAUUAAAUUUAAAAAGGAAAUUUUAAUAACCCGCAUGGGAAAAGAAUCUGAAAAAGAAUGGAUAUAUGUAUAUGUGUAACUGACUCACUUUGCUGUACACCUGAAACUAACACAACAUUAUAAGUCAACUAUACUCCAAUAAUUUUUUAAAUCAAAUCAUAAAUACUAUACACCAGAUUAAUCAGUUAAAUGCCACUCAAAAUAUUAAAAUUUGUCUCCGAUGGUUUUUCCUUUUUCUUCUAACAGUGUAUGCCCAUUAAAACUCAGGAACUGUCCUACCAGAACAAACCAAUGGCCCACUCAGUCUAGAAUCCUGCUUCCAACAGCAGUUAACAGUGAAUGCUUCAGAGGAAGAUGGAAACAUUUGAUAAUGAUCUCUAUCCAGUGGAAAAACCUCUGCCUUCUGCAGAAUGAAUACUUACUGACAUCAGUGAAAUGUGGAAUGAAUCUAAUUUUAAGCAAGUAGCCCCAAGUCUUUAGUUGAAACCCUAUAUUAUUUUGAAAUGCAUUUUUGUUCAAGUCAGUACAGAAUCAUUGGUGCAAACCUGAACCUAAAAUGAACCAAGCUAUUAACCAAAAGCUAAGAGAUGUGGAUUUACCAAUUCUUUUUUAGAAACUGUCUACCCUCUUUUAGGACAUUUGGUGGCAGUUACUCUGUCUCACUCAUCUCUGCAUCUUCAUCUCUUAGCACAGUUCCACAGUCAGGUAGUAUUUGUAGAAAUGCAUCAAAUACGAUUUUCUCUUAGAAAUAGAAGCAUCCACUAAUCUAGGUCUUUGUGUCAUAUAUGCAUGUAUAAAUGUGCAUGUAUACAAAGUCAAUAUAUGUGUGUAAACAUGCAGACUUUAUAUAUACACAUAAAUGUAUAAACACAUUCAUACCCACAAUGUUUUAGUAUCUUUAACAUCAGCCUCUGGCCUAAACAUAAAGUUAUUCAUGAAUUCUACAACUUCAUUAUAAGUUGAGGGAUUUGUAAACAGAGGGAAAGAAAAGGAAAAGUUGUUUCAAUUCAUAAGUGUAGAGUUCAGAGCAUUAUAGUUCAAAGAAGGUGUGAUAGAGCUCUUUGAUUUCCACCAUGAAAUGUGUUCAUAGUCUUGUACAUCCCUGGGAUAAGACAAUCCAAUUAAUUCAAGACCUAUGCAUUGGAUCUGACAGAUCCAGUGGUCUUUUGGGGAGAAAAAUGUUGAAAAUGUCAACUCCAUAAAAUGGUAAAACCUGAUUUCUCUCUAUUAAAGGUACCACAAACCAUUUAUUGAUUUUUUUUACAAAAAAGGAAAAAUAAGAAUCAUGUACCAAUUGAAUAGGAAGUCAGACAAUCCAAUUACAGUUAUGAAACUGAAGCAUUGGUUCUGACAGGACCGCUGAUUGCAAACAACUACCAGAAAAUGCCAGAAAAUAGUUGCCCACCCACAUACACAUAGACUCAAAGACACGUCUCCUGAAGCAGGAAAGGAGCUAAAAUGAAUAGUCAUUGAAGGCCAAAGGCCAGUGUUUAUUACCUACUUGUUGUAGUCAUAUUGAACUGUAUUAUGUAUCUGAGAGUUCACCAGUGGUCAGUGGUCGCUGAGGGAAUUUUGUUUCAAUUAUGCUCUACUGUUGAAUGAUCUUACCAUCCAAAGUCUGCACAUAAAAUGAAAUUAUUAUUUAUUGCACUGGAUAAAAACUGACCUCCUUCAGCUCAGCAGCACAGUCUUCUCUGUGGCUUAAACUUUAUCCAUCAUCAUCCAAUAUUUAUUGAUUGUCCAUGUGAUUCAUAACAUUAUAUAAAGAUGCUUCAAGAAAAGCUUGUUGAAAUGAAUCAUGGCAAGUUCUGAUCCCCAGACUCAGAGGAGAGUGGGAGCUUUGUUUAGCAGAUAACCUAGUUGUGAUGCUAUACAGGAAAAGCAGGUUAUUUCUGAAAGAUAUAUGUGACAAAAUGUACCAGCCCUCCUUUUCACUGUCACGUGCAAUUGAGAGAGCAGAACUCUAUCAGAGAACUCUGAUAGUCCAGGUAGGGAGGUGAGAACCUCUUAGAGUGAUGCAUUCUCUGGAUGGCAGGAGAACAUCCCACCAUCGUGAACAGUUGACAUCUGAAGCCAUUCUUAGAGAUGGUGACCUUUGCUUUCUAAUAGCAACACAUGCUCUCCUCUUCUAAAAAGUGAGUUAGUAGCUAUUGUAGCAUCAGAAGAGGAACCUCUCUUAUACUGCUUACAUGUUGGGUUGCUUAAUCUCCAUUUGCACAUAAGAAGUCAAGCCUGCUUCCUAUUUCCUGUCUCCCUGUAGCAGAAAGUUGAUAAGGGUCCUCUGAUAAAAAACAGACAAAUGAAAAAGUCAGUUUCUAACCCAUCUGAGUUCAGGGCUCUGUUUUCCCAUUAAUACAAAGAAGCUGCUGCUGCCAUGGCAUAUGGAUAGGGAGAGGACUCAUUCAGAGUUCAGCAAGGUCCUUCAGAUCCAGAGCCCAUUGUGUCUCCAUAAAAUUAAGUGGAAUCUCCUGCUCCCAUUGGGGUCACUACCUUCAUGGGCUAUUUCCACACUCCUUAGCUGUAGUGUCUAAGGAACUGUGAAGCAUUAACUCUUUGACCCAGUUCCUAGUGCUGCCUUUGUAGACAUCUAAGAUAAUGUGGGAACUUAGAAAAUAAAAACCAUGCUUCCUCAAUCUUUUAACCCAUGUUCAGAGAUACUUUAUCCAUUUAUUGUACCAUAACUUUUCCUUGACCCGUUGUGACCAAUACCAGCUGCCUGGUGGGAUUUUUAUCAUUGUUGGCACUCUACACUAAUCACUAACUGUUAGUCCCAUCUCACAAAGUUCAAUGACAGAGUCCAAGAUAUAUAUUCUUGUAGAGUAGAAAGCUAAGAAUCUGGUCAGCACCGGUCAUCAUCUCCAUUGCAAGAAUUCAAUAAAAAAUACUUAGGAGGUAAGAUAAUAAUCCAUGAUCUAGGUGUCAUUCAAGAUAUAAGAGAAUUACAGAGAUUAAAAUUAUAUAUUCCCCAGAGGAUUUUUAAUAACCCUUGUGACUGCCUAAGGAUAUAUAUCUUCUUCAGCUCAAACUUGGGAAAUAAGGAGAAGGUCCUAAGGAGAGAGCUCAUUCAACUCCUUAUUCUGAGAGAACCUGUUGCCAUAACAACUGGCUUUAUUUCUUUAUUCAUGUUCCCAUGUUAUCUUUUCUUGUCACUCUUAGAAUGUCCCUUGCCAUAACAGCAAAUAACAUGCAAAAGACAGCCAGAUCUUGUAGGUAAGUCACAGCAUCUUUUGCUUUGUAAGCCAAUGUGUUAUUCUUU